AUUGAACGCUGGCGGCAUGCCUUACACAUGCAAGUCGAACGGUAACAGGUCUUCGGAUGCUGACGAGUGGCGAACGGGUGAGUAAUACAUCGGAACGUGCCUAGUAGUGGGGGAUAACUACUCGAAAGAGUGGCUAAUACCGCAUGAGAUCUACGGAUGAAAGCAGGGGAUCGCAAGACCUUGUGCUACUAGAGCGGCCGAUGGCAGAUUAGGUAGUUGGUGGGAUAAAAGCUUACCAAGCCGACGAUCUGUAGCUGGUCUGAGAGGACGAUCAGCCAAACUGGGACUGAGAAACGGCCCAGACUCCUACGGGAGGCAGCAGUGGGGAAUUUUGGACAAUGGGCGCAAGCCUGAUUCAGCAAUGCCGCGUGCAGGAUGAAGGCCUUCGGGUUGUAAACUGCUUUUGUACGGAACGAAAAGCCCCGGGUUAAUACCCUGGGGUCAUGACGGUACCGUAAGAAUAAGCACCGGCUAACUACGUGCCAGCCGCCGCGGUAA
rnacentral:rRNA from 1 species